CUUUGCGGGCGCGCGGCGACGCCGUUGCUAGGGGAGGGCCUCCCUCAGAGGCCGAGCUGGGGAGCGAGCGCCGCCCGCCGUUUGUGAAGAGCCGCUCCCGGGUUAAACCCGAAGGACGUUAUUUCGGCUUGGAGGCAUGACACCUUACUUUGAAUUGGUACCAUUGCAUGUAAUCAGACACCAAGGUUGAAGACAAGUGGGAAGCAAUUAGAUGGAUUUUACAGCCAGAAUCUGAAGCUUGGAGAAACAACCCAGAACAUCCAGGAGGAAUGCUAAAAUGGCUGUUAAGGAAAGUCAUGAAGAUGAGGUACAUCUUAUUCCCUACAGAGACAUUUCAGUGUGAACCAGCUGAAGGAAGUAGCUGUUUGAGGCUUGUCGUCUGUGUGUACAGUGCAUGAUCAAGAAAGGAGGACACACCUUUCUCCAGGAGGAGGUUGAGCAAGAUCUGACAAGCAUACAGAGCUACGGUAUCCAUGCUUCCAGAGACUGGCAGAAAGACUGCAUCAUUCUUCAGCCACGGGUGUCAUGAAAUGAUUAUACAUUUUUGUCCAUUGAUUUCUCCCAUCCUACUCUCUUUAAAAGUUGCUGGAGAUUUCACACCAGUUUGUUCCGUAUCACAACGAUAACAAAUGUAGAAGAAAAAAAAUCCCUAAUCCACAGAAGUUUGAGUUUGUUUGUUUGUUUGUUUGUUUUAAAGCAUCUUGAAUUAAAUUCAAAAGCAAAUUGUCCAUUUAUUGAAUCUUGAGUGCAAUGAUUCAGUGUUACUUGCCUCUAGAUGGUGCUCUCACAUGGAGAUUAAAGAGUUUCAUUCGCAUUAUUAGUACAAUUUUCAUAAUUCUCUCAGAAUCAGCAUAAACCCCCUCAAACAAGCAAGAAAAUAACUUGCUAGAAUGUAUACAACUGUACCAUAUGUUCCAUUCCGAACAAAUUCAUAACUGAAAUGUACCUUUUUUACACAACUGAUGUGAUACUGAUAACUCAGAUUGUAUGAGUA